ACAAAUUUAAGAUGAAAAGUACCAAAGUGGAGCAAUUUUAGGAAGAUCUCUCUGGGCCAAGCAGGUGGCUAGAAAUAGAAAUGGAGAGUGUGCUGUGGAGUUAAGCACAUGCUGUCAUUUCAGGGGGAACUGUGCGCAGACUGACUUCUGUUCCCUCCUUCACGUUUGGUAUUUUGCAACAGGAUUCUCUUACUUUACUAUUGAUUUUUCAACUCACAGUGGUUCUUAACACUUUAGUCUUCAGGCUUUUUUUCGUCUGUCUUUCAAUAGACUAGUUAAUGGUAUACCAGUGCUCUAGGGAGGCUAGAGGGCUAGGAACCCUUCUGAAAAUGAAGUAAUAACCCAUUUGCUU
rnacentral:lncRNA from 1 species